rnacentral:tRNA from 1 species
GCAGAUAUAGCUCAGUGAUAGAGCACAUGCUUAGCAUGCAGGAGGUCCUGGGUUCAAGCUCCAGUACCUCCA